rnacentral:rRNA from 1 species
CCUACGGGUGGCUGCAGUGGGGAAUCUUGCGCAAUGGACGAAAGUCUGACGCAGCGACGCCGCGUGGGUGAUGAAGGCCUUCGGGUUGUAAAGCCCUGUGGGGAGGGACGAAUAAGUGCUGGCUAACAUCCAGCGCGAUGACGGUACCUCCUUAGCAAGCACCGGCUAACUCUGUGCCAGCAGCCGCGGUAAGACAGAGGGUGCAAACGUUGUUCGGAAUUACUGGGCGUAAAGCGCGUGUAGGCGGCGCGAAAGCCCUCGGCGCAACCGGGGAAGUGCAUUCGAAACUGCAGAGCUAGAGUCACGGAGAGGAUGGUGGAAUUCUCGGUGUAGAGGUGAAAUUCGUAGAUAUCGAGAGGAACACCGGUGGCGAAGGCGGCCAUCUGGACGGUGACUGACGCUGAGACGCGAAAGCGUGGGGAGCAAACAGGAUUAGAUACCCCGGUAGUC